rnacentral:rRNA from 1 species
GAGUUUGAUCAUGGCUCAGAACGAACGCUGGCGGCGUGCUUAACACAUGCAAGUCGAACGUGAUUCAGAGCUUGCUCUGAUGAAAGUGGCGCACGGGUGAGUAACGCGUGGAUAACCUGCCCUGGUAUCUGGGAUAACAUCUCGAAAGGGGUGCUAAUACCGGAUAAGCCUCCGGGAUCUUCGGAUUCUGCAGGAAAAGAAGGCCUCUAUUUAUAAGCUUUCGUAUCAGGAUGGGUCCGCGUACCAUUAGCUAGUUGGUGGGGUAAUGGCCUACCAAGGCGACGAUGGUUAGCUGGUCUGAGAGGAUGAUCAGCCACACUGGAACUGAGACACGGUCCAGACUCCUACGGGAGGCAGCAGUGGGGAAUUUUGCGCAAUGGGGGAAACCCUGACGCAGCAACGCCGCGUGAGUGAUGAAGGCUUUCGGGUCGUAAAGCUCUGUCAGAGGGGAAGAAAUGGAACUGGCUAAUAUCCAGUUUUCUUGACGGUACCCUCAAAGGAAGCACCGGCUAACUCCGUGCCAGCAGCCGCGGUAAUACGGAGGGUGCAAGCGUUGUUCGGAUUUAUUGGGCGUAAAGCGCGUGUAGGCGGUUUCUUAAGUCU